CCUACGGGGGGCUGCAGUGGGGAAUAUUGGACAAUGGGGGCAACCCUGAUCCAGCCAUGCCGCGUGUGUGAAGAAGGCCCUCGGGUUGUAAAGCACUUUCAGUGAGGAAGAACGCCUGGUGGUUAAUACCCAUCAGGAAAGACAUCACUCACAGAAGAAGCACCGGCUAACUCCGUGCCAGCAGCCGCGGUAAUACGGAGGGUGCGAGCGUUAAUCGGAAUUACUGGGCGUAAAGCGCGCGUAGGUGGCUUGAUAAGCCGGUUGUGAAAGCCCCGGGCUCAACCUGGGAACGGCAUCCGGAACUGUCAAGCUAGAGUGAAGGAGAGGAAGGUAGAAUUCCCGGUGUAGCGGUGAAAUGCGUAGAGAUCGGGAGGAAUACCAGUGGCGAAGGCGGCCUUCUGGACUGACACUGACACUGAGGUGCGAAAGCGUGGGUAGCAAACAGGAUUAGAUACCCUUGUAGUC
rnacentral:rRNA from 1 species